GUGAGGUAAAGGCUCACCAAGGCGACGAUCCGUAACUGGUCUGAGAGGAUGAUCAGUCACACUGGAACUGAGACACGGUCCAGACUCCUACGGGAGGCAGCAGUGGGGAAUAUUGGACAAUGGGCGAAAGCCUGAUCCAGCCAUGCCGCGUGUGUGAAGAAGGUCUUCGGAUUGUAAAGCACUUUAAGUUGGGAGGAAGGGCAGUAAGUUAAUACCUUGCUGUUUUGACGUUACCGACAGAAUAAGCACCGGCUAACUUCGUGCCAGCAGCCGCGGUAAUACGAAGGGUGCAAGCGUUAAUCGGAAUUACUGGGCGUAAAGCGCGCGUAGGUGGUUCGUUAAGUUGGAUGUGAAAGCCCCGGGCUCAACCUGGGAACUGCAUCCAAAAACUGGCGAGCUAGAGU
rnacentral:rRNA from 1 species